rnacentral:rRNA from 1 species
UGGGGGAUAUUGCACAAUGGGCGGAAGCCUGAUGCAGCGACGCCGCGUGGGGGAUGAAGGCUUUCGGGUUGUAAACCUCUUUCGCUAUCGAACAAGGCCCGCUUAGGGUGGGUUGAGGGUAGGUGGAGAAGAAGCGCCGGCUAACUACGUGCCAGCAGCCGCGGUAAUACGUAGGGCGCGAGCGUUGUCCGGAAUUAUUGGGCGUAAAGGGCUUGUAGGCGGCUUGUUGCGCCUGCUGUGAAAACGCGGGGCUUAACUUCGCGCGUGCAGUGGGUACGGGCAGGCUUGAGUGUGGUAGGGGUGACUGGAAUUCCAGGUGUAGCGGUGGAAUGCGCAGAUAUCUGGAGGAACACCGAUGGCGAAGGCAGGUCACUGGGCCAUUACUGACGCUGAGGAGCGAAAGCAUGGGUAGCGAACAGG